rnacentral:rRNA from 1 species
UACGUAGGGGGCAAGCGUUGUCCGGAAUCAUUGGGCGUAAAGCGUGCGCAGGCGGUUAUGUAAGACAGAUGUGAAAUGCCCGGGCUUAACCUGGGAACUGCAUUUGUGACUGCAUGGCUAGAGUUUGGCAGAGGGGGGUAGAAUUCCACGUGUAGCAGUGAAAUGCGUAGAUAUGUGGAGGAACACCGAUGGCGAAGGCAGCCCCCUGGGUCAAGACUGACGCUCAUGCACGAAAGCGUGGGGAGCAAACAGG